AUUGAACGCUGGCGGCAUGCCUUACACAUGCAAGUCGAACGGCAGCGCGGGAGCAAUCCUGGCGGCGAGUGGCGAACGGGUGAGUAGUGCAUCGGAACGUGCCCAGUUGUGGGGGAUAGCCCGGCGAAAGCCGGAUUAAUACCGCAUGAGACCUGAGGGUGAAAGCGGGGGAUCGAAAGACCUCGCGCGACUGGAGCGGCCGAUGUCAGAUUAGGUAGUUGGUGGGGUAAGGGCCUACCAAGCCUGCGAUCUGUAGCUGGGCUGAGAGGACGAACAGCCACACUGGGACUGAGACACGGACCAGACUCCUACGGGAGGCAGCAGUGGGGAAUUUUGGACAAUGGGCGCAAGCCUGAUCCAGCCAUGCCGCGUGCGGGAAGAAGGCCUUCGGGUUGUAAACCGCUUUUGUCGGGGAAGAAACGGCCUGGGCUAAUACCUUGGGCUAAUGACGGUACCCGAAGAAUAAGCACCGGCUAACUACGUGCCAGCCGCCGCGGUAA
rnacentral:rRNA from 1 species